GCGUUUGUGGUUUAGUGGUAAAAUCCAUCGUUGCCAUCAACCUCUUCUUCAUCAGAAGAGAGUGAAACAACCUCGAUGGGCCCCGGGUUCGAUUCCCGGCGAACGCA
rfam:Botryotinia fuckeliana T4 unplaced genomic scaffold Contig_7794_V3__V4, whole genome shotgun sequence.